UACGUAGGGGGCAAGCGUUGUCCGGAAUUAUUGGGCGUAAAGAGCUCGUAGGCGGCUUAGUAAGUCGGCGGUGAAAUACCGAGGCUCAACCUCGGCACUGCCGUCGAUACUGCUAUGGCUAGAGUUUGGUAGAGGAGAACGGAAUUCCCGGUGUAGCGGUGGAAUGCGCAGAUAUCGGGAGGAACACCGGUGGCGAAGGCGGUUCUCUGGGCCUGUACUGACGCUGAGGAGCGAAAGCAUGGGGAGCGAACAGG
rnacentral:rRNA from 1 species